rnacentral:lncRNA from 1 species
AGGAGGCCAGCGGUGGCGAUGACGGCUCUGCGAUGGGGAACGGUCGCUCGUCGUCGCAGCACCAGCAAUUCCAGGAUCGCAUAAUACCCGCAUGUUGAUGACCUCCAGGAGUCUCCGGCCUCCUCCCUCCAGGUACCUCUCCAAACCCUAACCGUCUCUGAGGUUCACAGUUUAUUACUAUACUACUAUUGUUUAAUUAGAUGGUAACAUAAAACUUUGAGUGUCUUAUAGGAGUUCUUAUUCACGGUUUGAGAUGCUAACUGGGUUCUCUCUGUCUCUCACAAGUUUGUCCUUGUGUUAUCUCUUUAUUCAGGGUACUCCCUCCAUUUCUGAAUAUAAUACCUUUUAUAGAUUCCACUACAGACUGCACACAUAACAAAAUGAGUAAAUCUACACUCUAAAGUACGUCUAUAUACAUCCCUAUGUAGUUCACGAUGGAAUCUCUAAAAGGUCUUAUAUUUAGGAACGGAGGGAGUAAAAAAUGCCUAGAAUAAAGAAAUGAUGAAUUGUAUUGUACUCAUUAUUGUAGUUAAAGAUUAUGUUUAAAAUCGAUCAUCACUUGGGAUGGUGCCAACUUGCAGGGUCGAUGAGACAUUAAAUUGCCAUAUUGCUUUUCCCUCUUCUUCACGUGUUAGGAAUAUAUCUUUAACAAUAGAAUUUAAUAUUUGUGGUUUCACAUGCAGGAAGAGACAAGAACGUAUCAAUCACCAGUGAAGGAGUCAUGUGAUUGUUGUCGUCAUGAUAAAUGUUGGUGUAGUGUAAAAUUCCUGAGCUAGACAUUAUGGUACAAUAUUAAUUUUAGGAUUGUUGCCAAUCAUACCCGUCUGUAGCUAUAUCACAUUGCAAAAUUCCAUGAACAUUUGGUUCACAUUAUUUCUCUGUUAUAUUGUUCCUGCCCAAGCAUGGAUGCAGGUGGACGUGGGCGCCGCGACUGCCACCAAGGAUGUAGGGGUCACUCUACAACCGGCAAGGACACGGUAGGCGCGCCAACCGCACUAUAGCCUUACAGUUUUCCUAAUUUCUAUAGGUAUGCGAGGUCAAUUUAAUAUUCACAUAUAUGCUGAAAUUUUGACUUCGAAGGACCAUCACUGAAGUUAUAUGCUGAAAUUUUGACUUUGAAAACCAGCACUAAAGUUAUAUGAAGUUUCUUGCAAGAGCUAUAUCAUUCUUUUUAGUACUACUGAUUAAUUCCCAUGAGUACCAAUGGUGAGAUUUUCAGGCAUAAAUACUGGAUGUGAUUCUCAUUGCUGGCAAUCUUCAUGAACCUAUCAAGGAGAACAUUGCAAUACUAAUUGUUGCACAAGUGUUCUCAACACCGGCUAGCAAUAAGAGAGAAUGAUAGUUUAAUGCUCACUGUUGUAAGCUUG